GACGAACGCUGGCGGCGUGCUUAACACAUGCAAGUCGAACGGUGAAGCGCCUUCCUUUUUGGUGGGUGUGGAUGAGUGGCGAACGGGUGAGUAACACGUGAGUAACCUGCCCCCUUCUUCUGGAUAACCGCAUGAAAGUGUGGCUAAUACGGGAUAUUCUGGGUCUGUCGCAUGAUGGGUCUGGGAAAGAUAUUGUUUCGGUGGGGGAUAGGCUCGCGGCCUAUCAGCUUGUUGGUGGGGUGAUGGCCUACCAAGGCGGUGACGGGUAGCCGGCCUGAGAGGGUGGACGGUCACACGGGGACUGAGACACGGCCCAGACUCCUACGGGAGGCAGCAGUGGGGAAUAGUGCACAAUGGGCGCAAGCCUGAUGCAGCGACGCCGCGUGAGGGAUGGAGGCCUUCGGGUUGUGAACCUCUUUCGCCAGUGAAGCAGGCCUGCCUCGUUUGUGGGUGGGUUGACGGUAGCUGGAGAAGAAGCGCCGGCUAACUACGUG
rnacentral:rRNA from 1 species